AACGAACGCUGGCGGCAUGCCUAACACAUGCAAGUCGAACGAGACCUUCGGGUCUAGUGGCGCACGGGUGCGUAACGCGUGGGAACCUGCCCUUAGGUUCGGAAUAACUCCCCGAAAGGGGUGCUAAUACCGGAUAAUGUCUUCGGACCAAAGAUUUAUCGCCUUUGGAUGGGCCCGCGUUGGAUUAGCUAGUUGGUAGGGUAAAAGCCUACCAAGGCGACGAUCCAUAGCUGGUCUGAGAGGAUGAUCAGCCACACUGGGACUGAGACACGGCCCAGACUCCGACGGGAGGGAGCAGUGGGGAAUAUUGGACAAUGGGCGAAAGCCUGAUCCAGCAAUGCCGCGUGAGUGAUGAAGGCCUUAGGGUUGUAAAGCUCUUUUACCCGGGAUGAUAAUGACAGUACCGGGAGAAUAAGCUCCGGCUAACUCCGUG
rnacentral:rRNA from 1 species